CCUACGGGAGGCAGCAGUGAGGAAUAUUGGUCAAUGGACUGAAGUCUGAACCAGCCAUGCCGCGUGCAGGAAGACGGCUCUAUGAGUUGUAAACUGCUUUUGUACAAGGGUAAACCUGAAUACGUGUAUUCAGCUGAAAGUACUGUACGAAUAAGGAUCGGCUAACUCCGUGCCAGCAGCCGCGGUAAUACGGAGGAUCCAAGCGUUAUCCGGAUUUAUUGGGUUUAAAGGGUGCGUAGGCGGAUUGAUAAGUUAGAGGUGAAAUGUCCGAGCUUAACUCGGGAACUGCCUCUAAUACUGGUGAUCGAGAGAGUGGGUGCGGUAGGCGGAAUGUAUGGGGGAGCGGUGAAAGGCUGAGAGAUCAUACAGAACAGCGAGUGCGAAGGCAGCUUA
rnacentral:rRNA from 1 species